GUUUCAUCAUGUUGACCAGGAUGGUCUUGAUCUAUUGACCUCGUGGUCCGCUCACCUCAGCCUUCCAAAGUGCUGGGAUUACAGGCGUGAGCCGUCAUACCCAGCCUAAGCCAAUCAUUCUAAUUUCUGUCUUUGCCCCAGUAAUUUGUUCAGGUUGGGAGUAACUCAGGCCUAAGCCAGUCAGCAUCCUUGCCCCAGUGAUCAAGUCAGAGCAAAAGCAUGUGACCUAAAGAAAGAGAUGUCAUGGAUGCUGUAUGACAGGGAGAAAAGCAGCUCGUUCCUAUUAGGGGAUGGUAGAAUGUGUGGCCUGGGUGUCUUAUAACCAUUUUUCUACCUAGAAGGAAGGCAGCAUACAAAGACGCUCCGAGAGACUGAGAAACAUGGCCCUGAUCACAUGGCUCCCGAGGCCCAUGUGGCCUCUGGGUUUUCAGUUAUAUAAGCCAUUGUGAGUUGGACUUACUAUUACCUGCAACUGAAAGCAACCUAUUACAGUCAUAUCACUUAAUGACGAGAAAAGCAUUGUCAGGUGAUCUGAGAAAAGCAUUGUCAGGUGAUCUCGUCGUAGUGUGAACAUCAUGGAGUGCACGUACACAGACCCAGACGGCAGAGCCUAUCGCACGCCUAGGCCAUAUGGGGUAGCCAGUAGCUCCUAGGCUACAAACCUGUGCAGCUUGUCACCAUACUAGAUACUGUAGGCAACUGGAACACAGUGGUAUUUUAAAUAAACAUAUCCCAAAAU